GGCGCGGGUAUUCCAGCUCCAAUAGUGUAUACUAAAGUUGCUGCGGUUAAAAAGCUCGUAGUUGGAUUACGAAGUGGUGUUUAAAUGUCAUUUUGGCUUGAUUGUCUUUCGGGGCAUUUGGGUCAACUUGGCUUUUACUCACUGUUGUCAUUGUCUUUGCCCAAGGUAUAUGCCUUGUGUGCAUGGCAUUGACCUUCUAUUUUAUGGUAAUGGUGUAUCUUUCGGGGUACAUUCAUUCCAUAUAGUUUACUUUGAAAAAAUUAGGGUGUUUAAAAGCAGGCGAAAAGGCUUCGGAAUAUAUUAGCAUGGGAUAAUAGAAUACGAUCUAGGUCGUAAUUUGUUGGUUUCUACGGCUUAGGUAAUGAUUGACAGGGAUAGUUGGGGUCGCUCGUAUUGAGUUGUCAGAGGUGAAAUUCUAGGAUUAACUCAAGACGAACUAAUGCGAAAGCAUUCGGCAAGGAUGUUUUCAUUAAUCAAGAACGAAAGUUGGGGGAUCGAAGAUGAUCAGAUACCGUCGUAGUCUCAACUGUAAACUAUGUCGACCGAGGAUCCGGUAGCGUUACAUGAUGACCUUCCGGGCACUCUGUGAGAAAUCAGAAGUAUUUGGACUCCGGGGGGAGUAUGGUCGCAAGGCUGAAACUUAAAGGAAUUGACGGAAGGGCACCACCAGGAGUGGAACCUGCGGCUGACUCAACACGGGGAAACUUACCAGGUCCGGACACAGUGAGGAUUGACAGAUUGAUAGCUCUUUCUUGAUUCCGUGGAAAGUGGUGCAUGGCCGUUUUUAGUUGGUGGAGUGAUUUGUCUGGUUAAUUCCGUUAACGAACGAGACCUUGACCUAUUAAAUAGUCGCGCGAACUCCGACCUUCGGGUCUCCACAGUUCGCGGUAAGACUUCUUAGAGGGACCCUUCGCGCCCAGCGAAUGGAAGUUCGAGGCAACAACAGGUCUGUGAUGCCCUUCGAUGUUCUGGGCCGCACGCGCGUUACAAUGACGUGUCUCAACGAGCCGUAUCCUUGCCCUAAAGGGCUCGGGAACCUUGUUAAAAUACGUCGUGAUUGGGAUAGAUCAUUGUAAUUAUUGUUCUUGAACGAGGAAUUCCUAGUAAGCGCGAGUCAUCAUCUCGCGCUGAUUACGUCCCUGCCCUUUGUACACACCGCCCGUC
rnacentral:rRNA from 1 species